GGAAGGUAAACCCACCGAAUUUGUCUCCAGAAGAGCAAUUCACACACCCAGUUGAAGUCGACCACGCACACUGCUCUCUUCAGCCGAAGCUGGCCACUGGUGCUAAGCCACACACCAUCCUGGCACACAUCCACCACUUUCAAGUUUAAGAGCUGAUCCUGCACUGUGGAAGACUACAACCCAUUGAGUACAAGGGCAGUAAGAUCUUGAACUUCCCGGACUACACCAGUGAGGUUUCUGUCUUUGCCAAAACCUUGAAAAUUUGCAUUUGCAAAAGCCAAGUCUGAAGGAGGACUGGGCUUACCUGUAUUCAGACACUACUACUGGCCUGCCAAUGUUAGGGCUCUCAUGUUUUAGCAACAGGAUCUACGGGUCUGUGCUUCUACUACAGGACAAUGCAAUGGUUUUGAGCGGGAGCUCUGUCUUUUCUGUGUGGGAUCUAUGUUUAUUGACAGGUGCCAGUUCCAUCCCGGAUUGGCUGCCCUUCAGUGCUGCAGUUGCCAUGGAUUGGCUGGUUCAAGACGCCAGUCUACUGACAUCUGGGGUUUCCAGGUGAUGCCGCGGGUAGAUGCUGGCAGCAGACCCUCAUCCCUACACCUUUUGUCAAGCGUUGUGUUUGUUGGAUAUUGAUAGGAAUGUGAGCGUAGACUGAGUCUGAUUUCUCGUUUUGUUGUAGUUAUGGGGUCAUUGUUAACAUGUGUAGCCUUCUGGUUAGUCUGUGUUAGUCUAGCACUUUGCUAUAGCUGCUUUGCUUUGUGUAGUGUUAUCGCUCAGACCUUGUAAAUCAUGCACUCUGCAAAUAGCUCUAACUUUGUAAAUAGUUAAAACCACUAAACUUUCUUAAAGCAGUAUGGGUGAAACGCCAUUUCCUUUUGUACACAGUUUUUCCUGUUUUUGUUAGUAUAGGGAGUUAGGUUUAGUAAAUGUCUUUUGUUUACUCUUUUGUUUGAUUAGGGAAUAGUUAGAAAUUGUUUUGGUUGAGAUAAUUGGUUCUGUUUAUUGUUUUGGUCUUGAUUCACCCUGAAGCCUAACUUCAUUGAAAAUCAAGUCAUUUUAACAAGUAACCCAGUCAUCUGUCAAAUUGUCAUACUGCUCACAUGGUGAAGCAAUAAAUUGCUUCUUUUUUUUGCAUUCAUCGCCCUUCACUUCUUUGUUCUUAUGUUGGGCCCUCAUGCCCCUAGACCUGGGCAUAACAAUCAUUCAUUCAUACUUAAGGCUGGUUUACCUCCCAAAUUUUGUUUCACUGUUUUUUCAAUUUAGAAAGGUAUUUACCAACACAAUGUAAAAUUGCAUGGCUGCAGUCAAGUAAAAUCGAGUGCACUAUCAUAUAUGAAAGGAUAAUGUAGAUUAUUUGGCUAGAUUGUUCUGUUUGUUCAUUAUGAGCCAGCGUACCUGUAGAUGUGUUUACAGCUAAGCCAAUCAACGCGCUCUAUGCUCUA